rnacentral:lncRNA from 1 species
GUAGAUGAUAAUCUGUCCUGUAUUUUAAUGAAACUUCCUUGCAGAGGACACAAGCUCCCCAGGGAACUCAUUGUGAAGUUAGAUGGAGUCUGUUGUCUCUUUUUAUUGUUCAUCUCCUUCCCAGGGAUAUAAAACAGGGUUGCCACCAUUAAGUUAACUAUUAAGUCAAGUCAUUCUACAUGGUUCUUGGACAGAUUGACAGAUCUUUAGAGAACACAACUACCCUAGGUAACAACUAGUUCAGUCCCUUCAUUGUGACUAGUUCAAGUCUUCUCUUCUCCAGGUUGAGAUUUGAGGGUUUUCUCAAACUCAUGUUGCAUCAUUGACUUAUGUUUUCUUUAGACCUUCCCAUCUUUUGCCCACUGUAUAUAUUGCUAGUAUUUUCUUCUAUGUGCUAAAAUCACACUGGUCUGUCAAUUAAUAGUCAAUGUUAUGUGAUUUUUUUCAAACAAAAAAUGACUGCGUUUUUAGUUAAUAGGACAUUUUCAGCACUGGAGUGACUCAGAACCUUGGGCUCCACUAUGUUUCUGUCACAGCUACUGGUAUGACUUUUGGUGGGUAACUUAGUAAACGUCUGAGCCUCACUCAGUUCAUCACCAUCAGAUAGCAGCUUUCCCCAAGGUGCUUCCCACGAGGUCUCAACACAUGUGAGACAUAUUUUAAAAUGGUUCCAUUUUAAAAUAGCUGGUGGGGGUGGGCAAAGAUUAAAUGAACCUAAACAGAUUUCUUUACGUUUCAGAUAAUAAAAAAUGCACAGCAUAAAUCUUCAAGUCUUCAAGAGAGGUGUUCUAAAGGUAUCUAACUAUGAUUUUUUCCCCCUUUAUUUUUAAUGCAACCUCAAUGCCACUUUCUCUGACCAGGCUUGUCUGCAAAGCAGUUACUCUUUCCUUGGUGCUCUUCCCAGAAACACAGGACAACUCAGGACUUUAGACUGGACAAUAGAUUGUGCAUUCUUUUGCAUCAUGAGCUUUUUGAGGGCAGGGCCUUUCCUUAUUUCUCUGUGUAAAGAGGGUCUAAUCCAAUGCUUUUAUUGGGAAAAUAUUUAAUAAGUAUGUUGAGUGAGUCAAGCUGUCCAUAAAUGGAAGGAACUACCUUGAAAAUGUUUGAACUUCCUGUCACAUAAAAUGUUCUUACAGACUGAAUUUUUUGAAAUGGGUGAAAUUUGUAGUAAAGAUGAUUGAUCAGGAAUCUAUGGGAGUUUCCUGAGGUUAUAAAGAUAAUAAAAGAAUAAAAGCACCUACAGAUAACCACAGGCAGUUUAGAGAAGGGCAGAGUACAGUUUUACAGGCAGCUUUUCCUGGCAUCCUUCUUAGGUCUGGAUGAAUUUUCCUAUUGUCUUGAGUCCAGAUUCUGUCUAACAAUAUAGAAUGAUUACUUAAGGAAAUUCACCCAGAUUACCAAUAUGUAAGUAAGGGACACAGUCCCAUGACAUUUAUCUUUCACCUUUUACAAUGUCACUGUGUACUUAUGAAUUCAAUUCAUUGCAUUUGUGAAUGAGUUAAUUUUCUCCUUUGCUAUUCUAUUACACUGUUCUAUUUCUUAGAUGCUUCUGGAAAGCAUGAAAUUUGUCUCACAAGCAAUUAUCUCUCCCUUGAUACCUGUUGUUUUGUGAUCAUAGGAAGAACUUGACAAAUAAUUACUGAAAAAAUAAAAAUGAAUAUG